rnacentral:rRNA from 1 species
AGCGCAGGCGGGAAGACAAGUUGGAAGUGAAAUCCAUGGGCUCGACCCAUGAACUGCUUUCAAAACUGUUUUUUCUUGAGUAGUGCAGAGGUAGGCGGAAUUCCCGGUGUAGCGGUGGAAUGCGUAGAUAUCGGGAGGAACACCAGUGGCGAAGGCGGCCUACUGGGCACCAACUGACGCUGAGGCUCGAAAGUGUGGGUAGCAAACA